UCAGGACGAACGCUGGCGGCGUGCCUAACACAUGCAAGUCGAACGGGGUUAAUUCCUUCGGGGAUUAACUUAGUGGCGAACGGGUGAGUAACGCGUGAGAAACCUGCCUUUCAGUGGGGGACAACAGUUGGAAACGACUGCUAAUACCGCAUAAUGUAUCGAGGGGGCAUCCUUUUGAUACCAAAGAUUUAUUGCUGAAAGAUGGUCUCGCGUCUGAUUAGCUAGAUGGCGGGGUAACGGCCCACCAUGGCGACGAUCAGUAGCCGGUCUGAGAGGAUGAACGGCCACAUUGGGACUGAGAUACGGCCCAGACUCCUACGGGAGGCAGCAGUGGGGAAUAUUGGGCAAUGGGGGAAACCCUGACCCAGCAACGCCGCGUGAAGGAAGAAGGCCUUCGGGUUGUAAACUUCUUUUAGCAGGGACGAAGGACGUGACGGUACCUGCAGAAAAAGCAACGGCUAACUACGUG
rnacentral:rRNA from 1 species